rnacentral:lncRNA from 10 species
CAAUGUUUGGGAUUAUAAUAAAGAACAUACAUUGGCCCUUGGUGUAGCAUAUAACCCUGAACUUCAAUUUUCUUUCCCUCAGCUCAGGAAAACUGUCACUGCUUUUCUCUUGUCCUCUAAUUCAGUACCACAGAUCAGCAACUACUCUGAGGAAGAAAGCAAUUAAAGAGGAAUUCAGUGCCAAGCCAUGAGUACACGCAGCCCUGUGAAAAGAUCAAGUAGUGAGAAACUGAGUCCUUCUACCAAUAGUCAGUGAGAAAUUGAGGUAUCCUGUCAACAGUCACAUGAGUGAGUCAUUUUGAAAUGGAUUUUCCAUCGCCAGUCAAGCCUAUGGAUGACUGAAGUCUGAGCUUAUAGCAUGACUGCAAACUCUUGAGACUCAAAGCCAUAAUCAUUCAGUUAAGCUGCUUCUGCAUUCUUGACCGUCAACCACUGUGUGGGAUAAUAAAGGUAGAACUGCCGUACUGUUUUCCAUAGAAGCUACACCAUUUUAAAUUUCCACCAACAGUGAACAAGGAUUCAGUUAAUGUACUUCCUCAUCAACACCUGUUAAUUUUUGUUUUCUUGAUAAGAUCCAUCCUGCUGGGUAUAAGGUGAUAUCUCAUUAUGGUUUUGAUUUGCUUUUCUCUGAUGAUUUGUGACGUUAAGCAUCUUUUCAAAUGUCUGUUGGCUAUUUAUAUAUCCUCUUUAGAGAAAUGUCUUUUCAAGUUUUUUUGUCCAUUUGUUAUUCAGGUUUUGUUGUUGUUGCUGCUGUUGUGUUGUAAGAGUUUUUUUAAAUGUAUUCUUGUUAUUACUUCCUUAUCAGAUCUAUAAUUUGAAAAUAUUUUCUCUUAUUCCACAGGUGUCUUUCACUCUGUUAAUUGUAUCCAUUGAUGUGCAAAGUUUUCAGUUUUGCUCUGUAUAGUCCAAUUUAUAUGUUUUUACUUUUGUUGCCCGUAAAAUUAGUGUUGUCUUAAGACACUAAAUUUUGGGUAAAAUGAUUACACAGAAAUAGCAAACAGAGGAGGCUAUUAUUUUAUUUAUCUAUAUUAAUGAUAUAAUUUGGCUCUGUGUCCUCACCCGAAUCUCAUCUUGAAAUGUAAUCCCACAUGUCGAGGGAGGGGCCUGAUGGGAGGUAAUUGGAUCACGGAGGCGGUUUCACUCAUGCUGUUCUCGUGAAAGUGAGUGAGUUCUCAUGUUAUCUGAUGGUUUCAAAGUGUGUCACUUCCCCCUUUCUCUCUCCUGCCAUCAUGUAAGACGUGCUUUGCUUCCACUUCACUUUCCGCCAUGAUCAUUAAGUUUCCUGAGGCCUCCCCACCCAUGUAGAAUUGUGAGUCAAUUAAACCUCUUUUCUUCUUAAAAUUACCCAGUUCUGGUAGUUCUUUAUAGCAGUUUGAAAACAGACUAACACAACUAUUUUAUUUCAGAGACAGUUUCACCGCAUUGUUCAGGCUGUCCUUAAAUCCCUGGACUCAAGUGAUCCUCCUGCAUCACCCUCCUAAGUGGCUGGGACUGCAGAUAUGCGCCAGCACUCCCAGCUAUAGGAGGCAAAAAAAUGUUUUCUUUGAAUGCUUUGUAAUAAUCACUUUAAAAUUAUUAUUGAAAUAUACUUAAGAUGAUGCUGGACAUAAAUUGUGAGGAUAUAUCUUAUAAAAGCAGAUAACUGAAUUGGAGAAAUUAGUGAAAUAGUUGACAGUAUAAAGUGUAAAAUAGUGGAGAGAGAGUAAAAUCUAGAAAAGAUGGGAGUUGAAAAAUGUAUAAAAGAGCUUAAGAAUAUGUAGGACAAGAUGGGGAAAUGAUAACAUACUUGUAACUAGAGACCUUGAAGAG